GACGAACGCUGGCGGCGUGCUUAACACAUGCAAGUCGAACGAAGAGCGAUGGAAGCUUGCUUCUAUCAAUCUUAGUGGCGAACGGGUGAGUAACGCGUAAUCAACCUGCCCUUCAGAGGGGGACAACAGUUGGAAACGACUGCUAAUACCGCAUACGAUCUAAUCUCGGCAUCGAGGAUAGAUGAAGGGUGGCCUCUACAUGUAAGCUAUCACUGAAGGAGGGGAUUGCGUCUGAUUAGCUAGUUGGAGGGGUAACGGCCCACCAAGGCGAUGAUCAGUAGCCGGUCUGAGGGGAUGAACGGCCACAUUGGGACUGAGACACGGCCCAGACUCCUACGGGAGGCAGCAGUGGGGAAUCUUCCGCAAUGGACGAAAGUCUGACGGAGCAACGCCGCGUGAGUGAUGGCGGCCUUCGGGUUGUAAAGCUCGGUUAAUCGGGACGAAAGGCCUUCUUGCGAAUAGUGAGAAGGAUUGACGGUACCGGAAUAGAAAGCCACGGCUAACUACGUG
rnacentral:rRNA from 1 species